rnacentral:rRNA from 1 species
AGAGUUUGAUCCUGGCUCAGGAUGAACGCUAGCGAUAGGCCUAACACAUGCAAGUCGAGGGGCAGCACAUGAGUAGCAAUACGAUGGUGGCGACCGGCGCACGGGUGAGUAACACGUAUGCAACCUACCUCUAACAGGGGGAUAACCCGUUGAAAGACGGACUAAUACCCCAUAAUACAGGGGCUCCGCAUGGAGAUAUUUGUUAAAGAUUUUAUCGGUUAGAGAUGGGCAUGCGUUCCAUUAGCUAGUUGGUGAGGUAACGGCUCACCAAGGCGACGAUGGAUAGGGGAACUGAGAGGUUUAUCCCCCACACUGGAACUGAGACACGGUCCAGACUCCUACGGGAGGCAGCAGUGAGGAAUAUUGGUCAAUGGAGGCAACUCUGAACCAGCCAAGUCGCGUGAAGGAUGAAGGUCUUAUGGAUUGUAAACUUCUUUUGCAGGGGAAUAAAUAGCGGUACGUGUACCGUUUUGCAUGUACCCUGCGAAUAAGGAUCGGCUAACUCCGUGCCAGCAGCCGCGGUAAUACGAAGGAUGCGAGCGUUAUCCGGAUUUAUUGGGUUUAAAGGGUGCGUAGGCGGAUUGAUAAGUCAGUGGUGAAAUUCUACAGCUUAACUGUAGACUUGCCGUUGAUACUGUUAGUCUUGAGUGUGGUCAAGGCAGGCGGAAUGUGUAAUGUAGCGGUGAAAUGCUUAGAUAUUACACAGAACACCGAUUGCGAAGGCAUCUCACAAAGCCGUUAUUGACGCUGAGGCACGAAAGUGUGGGGAUCAAACAGGAUUAGAUACCCUGGUAGUCCACGCAGUAAACGAUGAUUACUGGCUGUUUGCGAUACAAUGUAAGCGGCUGAGCGAAAGCGUUAAGUAAUCCACCUGGGGAGUACGUUCGCAAGAAUGAAACUCAAAUGAAUUGACGG